rnacentral:rRNA from 1 species
GGUUGAUCCUGCCAGUAGUCAUAUGCUUGUCUCAAAGAUUAAGCCAUGCAUGUCUAAGUAUAAACAAAUUUGUACUGUGAAACUGCGAAUGGCUCAUUAAAUCAGUUAUAGUUUAUUUGAUGGUACAUUACUACAUGGAUAACUGUGGUAAUUCUAGAGCUAAUACAUGCGUUAAAAUCCCGACUUACGAAGGGAUGUAUUUAUUAGAUACAAAACCAAUUCGUGGCAACACGAUAUUGGUGAGUCAUAAUAACUUUUCGAAUCGCAUGGCCUUGAGCCGGCGAUGCAUCAUU